GCAUUUACAGUUGUCUGUGACGUUGAUUGGGAAUAAGCCAUUUGAUGUACAAGAUCGACCAUUGUGUUGAAGAAAGCCAAACCAACAGAAUUAUGCAUGGGUUUGAAGCAAUUAGGCAACGUGUUAUUUGUACGAAAAAAAGAAGGGGUAACAAAAGAAAAGUAUAUGAAGCCGUCUGACCACUAGUUUUAAACAUGGUGAAUGUCGAUGGUGUCUGUCUGAAAGACGUGUAUCGUUUGGUGCUGGCUCUGAUUACAGAUGUAAUGGAGUUUCAGAUUGUGGACGAGCUCGUGAACCAAACUUCAUGAGUGGCUUAUGUAUGCUUACAUAUGGUUUUGUGUGGAAUCCUUGGGUGUUCCGUAGUUGCUGAAUCAGGAAAUUUAGGUGUGGCAGUUAUGUUAGCUGCUUCCAUGCUACAUCUUUGG